UACGAAGGGGGCUAGCGUUGCUCGGAAUCACUGGGCGUAAAGCGCACGUAGGCGGCUUUUUAAGUCAGGGGUGAAAUCCUGGAGCUCAACUCCAGAACUGCCUUUGAUACUGAGAGCUUGAGUCCGGGAGAGGUGAGUGGAACUGCGAGUGUAGAGGUGAAAUUCGUAGAUAUUCGCAAGAACACCAGUGGCGAAGGCGGCUCACUGGCCCGGUACUGACGCUGAGGUGCGAAAGUGUGGGGAGCGAACAGG
rnacentral:rRNA from 1 species